AUGAACGCUGGCGGCGUGCCUAAUACAUGCAAGUCGCGCGUACAGACGAGGAGCUUGCUCCUCUGACGUUAGCGGCGGACGGGUGAGUAACCCGUGGAUAACCUACCUAUAAGACUGGGAUAACUUCGGGAAACCGGAGCUAAUACCGGAUAAUAUAUUGAACCGCAUGGUUCAAUAGUGAAAGACGGUUUUGCUGUCACUUAUAGAUGGAUCCGCACCGCAUUAGCUAGUUGGUAAGUUAACGGCUUACCAAGGCGACGAUGCGUAGCCGACCUGAGAGGGUGAUCGGCCACACUGGAACUGAGACACGGUCCAGACUCCUACGGGAGGCAGCAGUAGGGAAUCUUCCGCAAUGGGCGAAAGCCUGACGGAGCAACGCCGCGUGAGUGAUGAAGGUCUUCGGAUCGUAAAACUCUGUUAUUAGGGAAGAACAAAUGUGUAAGUAACUAUGCACGUCUUGACGGUACCUAAUCAGAAAGCCACGGCUAACUACGUG
rnacentral:rRNA from 1 species